GUGGGGAAUUUUUCGCAAUGGGGGAAACCCUGACGAAGCAACGCCGCGUGGAGGAUGAAGGCUUUCGGGUUGUAAACUCCUGUCGACCGGGACGAAUUUCUCUUGCUCGAAUAGGGCGAGGGAUUGACUGUACCGGUGGAGGAAGCUCCGGCCAACUCUGUGCCAGCAGCCGCGGUAAUACAGAGGGAGCUAGCGUUGUUCGGAAUUACUGGGCGUAAAGGGCGCGUAGGCGGCCUGGUCAGUCUCAUGUGAAAUCCCUCGGCUCAACUGAGGAACUGCAUGGGAAACUGCCAGGCUUGAGUUCGGGAGAGGGACGCGGAAUUCCGGGUGUAGCGGUGAAAUGCGUAGAUAUCCGGAGGAACACCGGUGGCGAAGGCGGCGUCCUGGACCGACACUGACGCUGAGGCGCGAAAGCUAGGGGAGCAAACGGGAUUAGAAACCCUAGUAGUCC
rnacentral:rRNA from 1 species